rnacentral:sRNA from 1 species
AUAAGUUUUUAAUUACAUGUUCUCAUUAGAAAAUGAGUAAUUUGGUCAUUUUGUUCAAGAAAAUGGAUAUUUUUUUUAAAUGGCCAAGAGAAAAAUGUAUUGUUGCAAAAGGUGUCUUGCAUGGUAAGGUGGAAACUGAGAGUGAUGAGUUCUGUUUCUGAUGAAAACCAUUUUUGGUAAUCUUUUUUGCAUUAUUAUUUGUGAUUUUAUUUGUUUGUCAUUGUGCAUUAGGAUGGUUUUGUAUUAAACAAGAGGAUAUAAGUCUAAUAUAUACUUUAACAAGAGAGUGAUUUUGUUUUGCUAAAUUAAGCACACAUGCAUUAGUUUGACAAGUUGUGUGUGUGAGAGAUACAUCAUAAAAUGCAUCAUUAAUGCGAGAGAGUCAUCCGCGUCCCCAAAUACUUCUAUAUAAACUUACAUCUCUCUUUCUCUCUAACGCACAGCUCACAAUACUUUCUAACUCACUAAUUUUUCCUAAAUUCUUUUGAAUCAGUAGAAUAGAAAUUAUUUAUAUGCAUAUCAUUAUUUAUGUAUUUGUUUUCCUUUGCUUAUAUGAUUUGAUUAUGGUGUGUUUUUAUGUUCGUAGCCAUGCAGAUUUUUGUGAAACGGUUAGGAGGGAAAACUGUGACAAUCCAUACCCUAGGUGAGGGAAACACAGUCCAGGAUUUGAAGGCUGUUUUAGAGGAGAAAGCAGGAGGAUCUUGGUCUUGGCUGAGCAGCAGAUGCUUCACUUCGCAAAGAAGAUGAUUGCGGACGAUGCAGCAGUCCUGGGGACUAUUUCAUCAAAGAUGGCUCCAGCCUCCAGCUCGUGGUGAGGCUUUUUGGGAGAGCUACCAAUUAGGCCUUCAUCUAUCAAUCUUAUUUAUCUAUCCAUGUUUUAAUGAAUGAAUGUAUGAUAUUCCUUUUAAGCUUUACAUCUAUCUAUCCAUGUUUUAAUGAAUGAAUGUAUGAUCUUCCUUUUAAGCUUUAAGUUUUCCAUUGUGUAGAACUAUUGAUCUUUCUUUAUAUGCAAGUGAAUUCAAUUUGGUGAUUUUAUAGUUUGCUCCAGAUUAUUUGUUAAUCUUGUUUUCGUUGGGAAUAAUAUGUGGGUAGAUAUGUUGAUCUUAAAGCAAGUAAUAUUUUUUGUUAGUUUACCAUUGUAAUGGUUAGAGGAAUUUUGCAUGUCAAUAUAUGUUUAUACCGCAGAAAUAAUUGAAAAUAAUUUUGCAUAUCCUACAAUCAUACUAUCAUAAUAUUUUUUUUAGUUAAUAUUAAUUUUGAUUUUUUUAUUGAUCCACAAAGGUAAAACAACUUUAGUACACUACAAAAAAAUCAUUUUAA